AGCGGCGGACGGGUGAGUAACACGUGGGUAACCUGCCUGUAAGAUUGGGAUAACUCCGGGAAACCGGGGCUAAUACCGGAUAAUACUUUUAACCGCAUGGUUGAAAGUUGAAAGAUGGUUUCGGCUAUCACUUACAGAUGGACCCGCGGCGCAUUAGCUAGUUGGUGAGGUAACGGCUCACCAAGGCAACGAUGCGUAGCCGACCUGAGAGGGUGAUCGGCCACACUGGGACUGAGACACGGCCCAG
rnacentral:rRNA from 1 species